rnacentral:rRNA from 1 species
GAUGAACGCUGGCGGCGUGCCUAAUACAUGCAAGUCGAGCGAACGGACGAGAAGCUUGCUUCUCUGAUGUUAGCGGCGGACGGGUGAGUAACACGUGGAUAACCUACCUAUAAGACUGGGAUAACUUCGGGAAACCGGAGCUAAUACCGGAUGAUAUUUUGAACCGCAUGGUUCAAAAGUGAAAGACGGUCUUGCUGUCACUUAUAGGUGGAUCCGCGCUGCAUUAGCUAGUUGGUAAGGUAACGGCUUACCAAGGCAACGAUGCAUAGCCGACCUGAGAGGGUGAUCGGCCACACUGGAACUGAGACACGGUCCAGAGUCCUACGGGAGGCAGCAGUAGGGAAUCUUCCGCAAUGGGCGAAAGCCUGACGGAGCAACGCCGCGUGAGUGAUGAAGGUCUUCGGAUCGUAAAACUCUGUUAUUAGGGAAGAACAUAUGUGUAAGUAACUGUGCACAUCUUGACGGUACCUAAUCAGAAAGCCACGGCUAACUACGUG